UGGAUGGACUGCCGGCGACAAGCCGGAGGAAGGUGGGGGACGACGUCAAGUCAUCAUGGCCCUUAUGUCCAGGGCGACACACGUGCUACAAUGGCCGGCACAACGGGAAGCGAAGGGGCGACCCUGAGCGGAUCCCACAAAAGACCGGUCUCAGUUCGGAUUGCAGUCUGCAACUCGACUGCAUGAAGUUGGAAUCGCUAGUAAUCGUGGAUCAGCCAAGCCGCGGUGAAUACACGUUCCCGGGCCUU
rnacentral:rRNA from 1 species